GUUUCUAGAAGCACUUUCUAGGCGGGUCCGGGGCCGUCCAAGUUGCUUGGAACAGCACGUCAUAGAGGGUGACAACCCCGUCUGUGGCGGAACCGGCCGCUGACGAUGUGCUUUCGACGAGUCGGGUUGUUUGGGAAUGCAGCCCAAAAUGGGUGGUAAACUCCAUCUAAAGCUAAAUAUUGGCACGAGACCGAUAGCGAACAAGUACCGUGAGGGAAAGAUGAAAAGCACUUUGAAAAGAGAGUUAAACAGUACGUGAAACCGUUAAAAGGGAAACGGAUGGGGUCAGCAAUGCGCUCCGCGAGAUUCAGCCGAGCGGUGCGUCGGGCGGGUGGUUUGCGGAUCUGAAUGGACCGCGGCCGCUCGGAUCGGCGUUCCKACCGUCGCACUUCUCGCGAGUGCGCGCCAGCGUCGGUUGGCACUGGGUCUGAAAGGCGCGGGCAAGGUAGGCCGCCCCCCUCGGGGGGCGGUCGUUAUAGGCCUGCGUCGCAUGGCUCGGGGCCGACCGAGGAGUCGCGGCGCGCGCCUCCCCUCGGGGUUGGCUGGGGUCUUGUCUCGCCGAUUGGUAGUCGAAUGCGGUGGACUGCGUGCAGUGCACUGCGACCGCUGUCGGUCGCCGGGACGGUGACUUCGCACCACGCGCCAAGGACGCUGGCGAUCAAAUGGCCUCAUUCGWCCCGUCUUGAAACACGGACCCAGGAGUCUAACAUGUGCGCCAGUCUUCGAGUGAAGGAAGCUCGCGGGCGCAAUGAAAGUGAAGGUGGCCUCGU
rnacentral:rRNA from 1 species